UAAUAUCAAGCUGCUGGAUUGAAGGCCAGCUUGGUUUGGACCAAGUCAGAUUGAGAACUACAACUGUAUGUGUCUUGGUUUGCAGUCUCUAUGAUCAUGUUUUCAAAAGUUGAGUACUCGGUGGAUGGUUUAGCCAGGCAGAUGCAUUCAGGUUUGAAACACAUAUGAUAGUGGAUGGUGCAAUAACCCUGCAGAGGACUGAUAUCUAUGGUGAAGGGGAACUAUCGGCCCGACUGAUGCACCUUGCAGUCUUUACGAGGAUCCUACAGUAAUUAGAAGACGAGAAGGAAGAGAGGUUGAGGGAAGAGUUUACGAAGAACAUUUAUGCAUUGCAAAUUUCAAAGAGUGUUGGAACUACAUACCCCGGUUUAGGAUUCCCCGCUAGCCAGCCUCAAAUGUCAGAAGAAUC